UGAUCUUAGAUAGUGCAGUCACCAGCUCCAAAUGGAGACCUCUGUACUUAUAACUAUCCUCCUUUGCACCCUGGAGCUGACUCGACUAAGGUUACCUUCCCAUGGAGGGUAUCCCUAUCGGAAGUCAUUUCCCAUAUGUACCGUCUGAGCUCAAAGAUUUCAGCAUAUCUGGCCUGAAGCUCCUUUUUCAGCAGGGCAUUUUCUUUCUCACACUGCACAAAUCAGGUCCGAGACAUUAAAAGCAAUUUAAUCGCACAAAGAUUCAAAUAAUAGUAAGCGGAUGAUGAGUAGACCGCUCAGUAAGGUAGGAUUUCUCACGCUUGUGAUAGUUCACCUCAUCCUUGUACUAGGGGAAAUCCUGGCUGUGAAGCAAUUUAGCAUGAAGCCACAAAAAAUGACAAGCUAGAAAAACAAAGAUCGGAGUAGCCCAAAGCAGCAAAAGGGGAUAGUAAAAAAUACACGCUCACAACGUCUGCCCAUAUCUCCAAAAAUGGACAAAGCAUCAACCUCGAGACUUCCCUCGAGAAAGAUCGGCAGCCUCUCAAAUACAUCCGCUUUCGACUAGUGACCUACAUCAAAAGGCUAUUCAUGCGGGGUAUCUUGCACUCCAUAAAGUGAUAGGAUCACUCCCUGGGGGGGAUCAAUAACGAUCACAGUGUUGACAGGAUCAGUCAAAGCCUUCGUCCCUUGUUCGCCCUAGGCCCUAGAAUCGGGCCCCUCCGGGCUGCCCACCAAGGGUGCCUCAACUUGGGGAGAAUUCUGGCCACUAUCCAACUCGAGGGUAGUAAUCGGUACCCCAUAUGUUGCCUCCCCGCUAUAGAGAUGGGCCAUAGCGACAUCACGCUCGGGUUUGAAAGCCCGACGGUCCAAGGACCGGCCGAGUCCAUACACCCUUUGGGGGCUGUUGGGAAGUUAUUUUACCCCCUCACCUUCAAAUCAAGGGUUUCCCGCUGUCUUCAAGGUCAGACCUAAUGGAUCAACCUUCGAUCCUUCCACCUUAACCCUCUUGAAAUCUGGCGGCCUAACCACCAGGCCCCCUGCCUUCACUUCUUCUCGGCAUGCACUAGGGCGUCCCGAUUAACGGGUAAUGCCUCCUUCGCCAAAGGGACUUCCCCAACACUGCAUAAGUUAAACACAAAGAAUGAUGAAUUCUAUUAAUAGUGAUUUUCAUCAAAGUAUGCUAAUGUAACAAGUCUCAAAUCUUAUCGUGAUCUUUGGCUUCCUACCGGGCUCAGGAUAAUCAUGCCACACUCAUUCGACAUAUGGGCUUAUAGAGUAUAGGCGUCCGGCCCAAUCCUGGAGGUCUGAAACCACACCAAGUAGGUUUCUAUGGCUAAAAACGCAUGAGAAAUGAAGCUAUAUGCUUUGAGAAAUAUAGUCAAAAAAGAAGCGAAAGAAGACCCGACAACGCAUUUUACGCCUAGCGUUCCACUUCUCGGCGAAUGGCAUUUUUUCCUCCACAAUUAGGUCAGAGGUCCUUACUUGAAUAAAUCGGCUCAUCCAAACUUCGUUCCCGAGCUCCUCGGUGCAUACAAAAAGAGACCACGGGGCUCUACAACGGAGUUUGAUUAGGCCCCGCGAAGAAGAUGGGGACUAUACAUCCGGAUCAGGUGAUUGAAGGCGAAGGGCAUCUCCUCAAUCAUGUUUGAGUAAUGCCUGAUCAUAUACAUAAUGCAUCAGAAUGAAGGAUGAAUUCGACCCAUGGUUACCUGAUAACGUCGAUAGAAGUCGAGAAUCACGGGGUCGAUCGGGGGCGAGGAUGGCCCGAUGAGGGUGAACGGAUAGGUAGACACACUGAGAAAGAUGGCUUUGUGAUCCGUGAUAUAUU
rnacentral:lncRNA from 1 species